rnacentral:lncRNA from 10 species
AAAAGUUGUCUAUAUUCUCCCAUAGCCUUACACAUGGUAAGCAAUUCACUACUAUGAUGUUGAGGACACAAUUUUGACCCUCAAGUUUGACCUAUUUUUGCCCCAACUUUGCCCCUUGUUAGUCACCUGAGCUUAACUAACAUUACUGACCAUCGGCUUCCUUAACUCUGAGAUGGGUAUUAUAACGUUUUGGUGCCACAAAAGAAAUAGCACUUGAAUGUAAAAUUUUCUUUUUAAUUCUCAGCAAGGCAACGUAUUUCUAUAGAAAGGUGAGUCCUUACAGAUGGAGCAACGGUGAGCACACACCUGGACAAGGGAGGGAAAGGGCUGUGGCCACUGCUGCUGUGUUGUUCCCCUAUUGGCUAGGAUUAGACUGCACAGGCUAAAUUAAUUCUGAUUGGCUAAUUUAAAGAGCGUGACAGGGCGAGUGGUUUGGUGGGAAAACGUGGUUAUGCAGUGAGGAGGAUGAGUCAGGGCAGAACAGGUGGCAGAUAAUUGGAAUGUCAGGGUGGAGCAGUAAUCGGAAUGAGUCAGGGUGGAGCAGGUGAUUGAAAUGAGGGUGGAGCAGGUAAUACAAAAAGGUUGCUUUAUGAUGAAGUUUAAAAGUAGAAGGCAAAGAAUUGAAUAUACUGACAUAUUGAUUCUUUGAAAAGAAAUUUAGAACUCAUAUCUAAUGGCAUAACUUGGCAGGCUAGUUAAUGAAGUUAAGAUCAAAUCUGCAAGAAUUCUGAGAAUCAGCUUGUGCAGCUGAAACUGCUGUUGCAAAAUAAUGACUGAGACAGUGAAAGAGAUCUAACUUAACUGACUCCAUCUUGCGUCUAACCUUUAAGCUGCGGUGUUCCUUCUUGGGUGUAGGCUGAACUAACUUAGGGAGGAACUUAGUUUCUAGUUUAAAACAAAGACGAUGGCAGCCCUUUCCCAAAACAAACCUCCUUCUUGCCUGGGCACCAGACUGCCUUUGUAAGACUAAUAAAUUACAUAAGAUUAUAAAUUAUGGUUUAGGAAUCAUGUGGCUGGAGGCUACAAGAUUCUGAGCCUCCCUAAACUGUUACUAAGAUCACUGCUUGAGAUAUUUUGCAGACCCUGCACUUGAUGGAUCAGCUGACACCACCCAGAUUGAUAAACUGGUUCAUCUGAUCUUGUGGCCGCCACCCAGGAACUGACUCAGCACAAGAGGACAGCUUCAGCUUCCUAAAAUUUCAUCUCCAACCUAACCAAUCAGCACUCCUGGCUCACUGGCUUACCCCCACCCACCAAGUUGUCCUUAAAAACUCUGAUCCUUUGAGUAAUAAUAAAACUCCGGUCUCCCACACAGCAGGCUCUGCAGUGAAUUACUCUUUCUCUAUUGUAAUUCCCCUGUCUUGAUAUAUCAGCUGUGUCUAGGCAGCGGGCAAGGUGAACCCAUUGGGCAGUUACGCAGCUGCUGGAUGAACAAAUAAAUGUGUGGAAAAUGAAGAAAAACCGAGAGUCAAAGCUUACAGACUCUGCGAUGUGUCCUGGAUGCAAAGGCCACCUCCUGGAGUUUUUGCUACCUUUGCUUUUCAGCUGAAAGUAUUUUGGGAAGUCGAAGCUUGGAGAGAUUCUGUGAAUUGGUGAAGGACACAGAGCAAAGCCAGGAUUCAGAUUCAGACCUGCUUGACUCCAAGAUCAUUCCAGAAAUCUCCCUUUUCCUUUGGACCCUGUGACGUGACAGCUGGGUUCUUUCUGCUCUGAUUUCCAUGCCUGACAACCAUUUAAAUGGAAUACAAGAAUGCAGGUAACUGAAGAAACCCAUGGAGAGAGUUUUCUUAGGUUGAAAGAAAUUCACCCUUUAUCAAGAAUUAUUUAUAGUUCCUCUGGAGUGAGAGAGGAAGACAUUACCCACGCAGUGCUCUGUGGAAUCAUCUGAGCCACCACUUCUGCCUUGGGGACAUCAUCUGGGGAAGUAUCUAGAUCCUUUGGCUGAACAACGUGUUUUGAGGUCUUUAAUAUGUCACCUUAAGGAUGAGGCCUAGAGAACAUGGCCUUUUGUUGAACAGUUUGUAAGCUCUCAAAUGUGAGUAAAUGUGAGGAGGGUCUUGAGAGAUAUAGGAAGCUCAAGAAACCUAGCUAGAGUCUCUAGACUGUUGAGAAAAGUGGUGAGAAGAAAUUCCCAUUGUGGGGGAUGGGAGUGGUGGUUCAGGAGGAUUUUUGAGAAUGGGGAUAGAGAGCCUAGAAAUAAGGCCACACACCCAUGGCCAUCUGAUCUUCGACAAAGCAAGCAAUGAGUAAUGGACUCCUUGUUCAAUAAAUGGUGCCGGGUUGACUGAUUAGCCAUAUGCAGAAGAUUGAAACUGGACUCCUUCCUCACACCAUAUACAGAAAUCAACUCAAGAUGGAUUAAAGACUUAAAUGUAAAACCCAGAACUAUAAAAACUCUGGAAGACAACCUAGGCAAUACCACCCUGGAUAUAGGAACGGGCAAAGAUUUCAUGAUGAAGACACUAAAAGCAAUUGCAGCAAAAGCAAAAAUUGACAAAUGUGAUCUGAUUAAACCUAAGAGCUUCUGCACAGCAAAAGAAAUUAUCAACAGAGUAAACAGAGUAAACAACCUAUAGAAUAGGAGAAAAUAUUUGCAGACUAAGUAUCCAACAAAGGUCUCAUAUCCAGCAUCUAUAAGGAACUUAAACAAAUUUAUAAGAAAUAACUAACAAUUCCAACAAAAAGUGGGCAAAGUAUAUGAACAGACACUUUGCUAAAGUAGACAUAUAUGUGGCCAACAAGCAAAUGAAAAAAAGCUCAAUAUCAUGAUCAUUAGAGAAAUGCAAAUCAAAGCCACAAUAAGAUAUAUCAUCUCACACCAGUCAGAAUGGCUAUUAUUAAAAAGUCAAAAAAUAACCGAUGGCUGGUAAAGUUGCAGAGAAAAGGAAAUACUUAUACACUGUUAGUUGGAGUUUAAAUUAGUUCAACCAUUAUGGAAAGCAGUGUGGUGAUUCCUCAAAGAGCUAAAAACAGGACUACCAUUUGACCCAGCAAACCUAUUACUGGGUAUAUGCCCAGAGGAAUAGAAAUCAUUCUACCAUAAAAACAUGUGCAACAAAUGUUCAUUGUAGCACUAUCCAAAAUAGCAAAGACAUGGAAUCAACCUAAAUGUCCAUCAAUGACAGAUUGGAUAAAAAAUGUAGUACAUAGGUCCCAUGGAAUACUAUGCAACCAUAAGAAAGAACAAGAUCAUGUCUUUUGCAGGAACAUGAUGGAGCUGGAGGCCAUUAUCCUUAGCAAACUAAUGCAGAAACAGAAAACUAAAUAGUGCAUGCUCUUACUCAUAAGAGGGAGCUAAAUGAGGAGACAUCAUGAAUACAAAGAGGGGAACAACAGACACUGGGACCUCUUUGAGGGUGGAGGGUAGGAGGAGGGAGAGGAGCAGAAAAACAUUAAUCUUGUUGUACAGAUUAUUUUGUCACCCAGGUACUAAAUGUGGUACUAUUGGGUACCCUACCACUGUUUUAUCAAACAAGUUUCUGUAAUAGUAUAAAUCCUUUGUUGUCAUUACAACAAUGUUCAUGGCAUCUUCACCAGGAGUAAAUCUCAUCUCAAGAAACCACUUUUUUUGCUUAUCCAUAAGAAGCAACUCCUCAUCUAUUCAAAUUUGAUCAUGAGAUUGCAGCAAUCUGGUCACAUCUUCAGGUUCACUCUAAUUCAAGUUCUCUUGCUGUUUCUACCACAUCCACAGUUACUUCCUUCACUGAAAUUUUGAACCUGUCAAAAUUUGGUACCUUACUGUUGUGUACCAGGUUUAGUACCUGGGUGACAAAAUAAUCUGUACAACAGACCCCCCGUGAUACCAGUUAACCUAGGUAACAAACCUGCACAUGUACUCCUGAACCUGAAAUAAAAAAAAAAAAAAUGGGAAUUUUUAGGUUACAAGUUCUUUUUCUGUGAAAUAAGUCCCCAGCCAUUGCAUCAAAUACUCAGUAAAUCCUUCUAGCAAUAUGGGAGUGAUUUGGGCAAAAUCAGAAGAAACCCACAAAAACUCUGUUGCACAUCAUUGUGCUGAACCUCUAUUAAUCUCAGUAGGGAAGACACCAGGCUCAAGAGGCCAAAGAAGACACUCAGAGCCAGUAAAUGAGACAUGGGGUCUUAUUAGGGGCUUCCACACAAGGGAGACAGUGCAGCGACAGCGGGCUGGACAAGAUAACCACAGGGCCCAGUAGCUGCGGGCUGGAGAGGAAAACCACAACUGCCUGCAAAUGU